rnacentral:rRNA from 1 species
CCCUUAGAUGUUCUGGGCUGCACGCGCGCUACACUGAUGCGCUCAACGAGUUUACGAACUUGCCCGGAAGGGUUGGUUAAUCUUUUUAAAACGCAUCGUGAUGGGGAUAGAUUAUUGCAAUUAUUAAUCUUCAACGAGGAAUUCCUAGUAAGCGCGAGUCAUCAGCUCGUGCUGAUUACGUCCCUGCCCUUUGUACACACCGCCCGUCGCUCCUACCGAUUGAGUGCUCAGGUGAAUAAUUCGGACUGCGGCAUUGACCGGUUCCCGAUCGUUGCUGCGGAAAGUUUAGUGAACCUUAUCACUUAGAGGAAGGAGAAGUCGUAACA